rnacentral:rRNA from 1 species
CCUCGGGGGCAGCAGUGGGGAAUAUUGGACAAUGGGCGAAAGCCUGAUCCAGCCAUGCCGCGUGUGUGAAGAAGGCCUUCGGGUUGUAAAGCACUUUCAGUGGGGAAGAAAGCCUUGGGGCUAAUACCCUCGAGGAAGGACAUCACCCACAGAAGAAGCACCGGCUAACUCCGUGCCAGCAGCCGCGGUAAUACGGAGGGUGCGAGCGUUAAUCGGAAUUACUGGGCGUAAAGCGCGCGUAGGCGGUCUGAUAAGCCGGUUGUGAAAGCCCCGGGCUCAACCUGGGAACGGCAUCCGGAACUGUCAGGCUAGAGUGCAGGAGAGGAAGGUAGAAUUCCCGGUGUAGCGGUGAAAUGCGUAGAGAUCGGGAGGAAUACCAGUGGCGAAGGCGGCCUUCUGGACUGACACUGACGCUGAGGUGCGAAAGCGUGGGUAGCAAACAGGAUUAGAUACCCCAGUAGUC